rnacentral:rRNA from 1 species
GAUCCUGGCUCAGGUACGAACGGCUGGCGGCGUGCCUAACACAUGGCAAGUCGAGCGGGAAGCUUGGUAAUGAGACUUCGGUUGAUUUACUAAGUGGAGAGCGGCGGACGGGUGAGUAACGCGUGAGUAACCUGCCUUACAGAGGGGGAUAACACAGAGAAAUUUGUGCUAAUACCGCAUGAAAUAGCAAUAUCGCAUGAUAUAACUAUCAAAGAUUUAUCGCUGUAAGAUGGACUCGCGUCUGAUUAGCUAGUAGGUAGGGUAACGGCCUACCUAGGCGACGAUCAGUAGCCGAACUGAGAGGUUGAUCGGCCACAUUGGGACUGAGACACGGCCCAGACUCCUACGGGAGGCAGCAGUGGGGAAUAUUGCGCAAUGGGGGGAACCCUGACGCAGCAACGCCGCGUGAAGGAAGAAGGUCUUCGGAUUGUAAACUUCUGUCCUAAAGGAAGAUAAUGACGGUACUUUAGGAGGAAGCCACGGCUAACUACGUG